GUCUAUUGAUGAAUGGACACCACUAACUUAGUUCAUCCUUCCCACCUUAUAGGUGGAAGAAUGGGUGUGAGCAGUUCAUCAUAUGGAAACUGGGUUCUGAAUGUAAUACAGAGAGGUCACAAACUGACCAUCCCAAGGACACAAUUACCUCGCUUUUUCUGGUCCUAUCCGUGAGGCUUGACAAGUAGAGGCACGUAUCCAUCACCACAGUCAAGACAGAACAUUUCCACCACCCCCAGGAAGUCCCUCAUGCUACCUGCUCUUGUCAGACCCUCAACCCUUGGCAACCAUGAUCUGUUUUCCAUACCUUCUAGUUUUGCCUUUUCCAGAACGUCAUAUAAUGUGUGUUUUUCACAUGCUUAUUUGCCAUUUGUAUGCCUUUUUUGGUAACUUGUAUUUUAACACCAUUUGACUAAGCUGCCAAUAUUUAAAUAUUAGGAGAGUUCAAAUAAAAGUCUGACUGAGCUUGGCUAUUUGGAAGAUAAGGCGACAUUGGAUCCACAGUCCCACGUGACGAAGAUGGCUCCAGCUCUGUGUGUGGUUCAAUUACGUCUGGGCCUUUGACUCAGCCUUCUUAUUCGCUCCUCAUGUUAAUUCUACUUAGGAGAAUAGUUCUUCAGUAUGUGUCAGCGUGUCUAAUCUUACAACAAGGGUAGGUGGAGAUGGGCUGUCUCUGUCUUUACCAUCUUCUAUAGCAACACUUUAAGUUACUGUUCUAGAACAAUGGAUUGAACAGAGGGAUACAAAUUCUUCAGGAUCACUGUUUUUCCUGACAUGAAAACUGAACAUGGAAAUAGGCCCUACCUGAGCUAACCAGGCUACUGAGAUCCUUCCUCUUGGAGUGCUUGUGCCAGCCGGUACCCACUGUUGCUGCUCCGGGUUCUGGUGUGACUGCAGUGAAACUACAUGCAAUUAGGCGACUGGCUGAACAGGCCAUUAAAGAAGUGGAAACAUAUGCAUUCAUGUUCAAAGAAAGAAAACAUCAGUAAAAGUGCUGGACUCCCCUCCUAUCCACUUCUGCACUCAAUCUGCCGACACAUGUUGUUCUGGUUGAAGUAUAUGAAGAAAAUCUGGCUUCACACAUAUAUAGAUGGAAAGUUUUUUUUUAAAAAUGGGCUUUUCAGGUAAUUGUGGAUAUUUCUUGAUAUGACACCAAAACUCAACAAGUGGUAGUUUCUUAAAGGUUAGUUUCAAGGUAGAAUCUGAAAUCACAGCAAGGAAUUUUUUAUACUCUGUUAUAUUAAAAUCCUUUGGUGUAAGCAAUCUCUGUACUGUUUUCCAUAGCAGCUGUACCAAUUUACAUUCCCACCAAGAGUGCACCAAGGGUUCUCUUUUCUCCACAUCUUGUCUUUUUGA